CCGACGGUGAGGGACGAAGGCUGGGGGCACGAACCGGAUUAGAUACCCGGGUAGUCCCAGCCGUAAACGAUGCUCGCUAGGUGUCUGGGAUGGUGCGACCGUUUCAGGUGCCGCAGGGAAGCCGUGAAGCGAGCCACCUGGGAAGUACGGCCGCAAGGCUGAAACUUAAAGGAAUUGGCGGGGGAGCACUACAACGGGUGGAGCCUGCGGUUUAAUUGGACUCAACGCCGGAAAACUCACCUGGGGC
rnacentral:rRNA from 1 species